CUCACGCCUAAUUAGUCUUUUGGGAUCAGGUGGUACUUGUGAAUGUGUUUUUUUGCUGAUUGCAUGCCCCACGAUCUGGGGCGGAAGUGUUCGGCGAGUGAGGCUAGGGAGGUGUCCCAAACCCACAGGCCGCUCCAGCUCGCUGGUCCAGCCUCCGCCUGAACUCCUCUUUGGUCCUCAACGUUCUGUGCGUUUCUUCCCCACACUCCUGCCAGUUUCGUCGGGGAAGCCUGAAUUUCUAGAUAUACUUCUUACUACAGGGCUGGGCUCAACAGAAGGAGAAGCAUUAAAAGGACUCAAGAAGGGUGAUUGGCUCCAGCACACCCAGAAUGAGGACAUGACGGCAGAAUCCUCCAGUAACAGCGCCUGUGGCCCCACAGGGAGCUGGAGCUGUCUUGAUCAGCCAUCUUGACUUCCUGUCAGUUUCCUUCCCUCUUAAGGGAUCAGGCAACUGUAUGCACUGCCCCUGCACUGGCUUCCGCUGAGAACUCUUUCCUAGGUAGUAGGCAAGAUCCCUCCUAAGCUUUGGGCCCUGUAACAGGUCUCUACCCAGCCUGCUAACAUCAGGACUGUCAGUGACUCGGCUGGAGACCUGUAGUUUUUUGUUACAGGGCUGGACUCAAUGGAAGGAGAAG